rnacentral:lncRNA from 10 species
CACAUCUGUAAUCCCAGCACCUUGGGAGGCCAAGGCGGGUGGAUCACCUGAGGUCAGGAGUUCAAGACCACCCUGGCCAACAUGACAAACCCUGUCUCUACUAAAAAUACAAAAAUUAGCCCAGCGUGGUGGCACGCACCUGUAAUCCCAGCUACUCUGGAGGCUGAGGCAGGAGAAUCACUUGAACCCAGGAGGCGGAGUUUUCAGCGAGCCGAGAAGGAGCCACUGCACUCCAGCCUGGGCAGCAGAGUGAGACUCCAUCUCAAAAAAAUAAAUAGCUAAAUAAUUAGCCAGCAUUGUUAUGAGUUAAAGUCUAUUUGCCCGCAUGAAUAAAUAGGUAAAUAAUUAGCCAGCAUUGUUGUGAGUUAAAAUCUAUUUGCCCGCAUGACAGAGUGAGACUCUGUAUCAAAAAAAUAACUAAAUAAAGAAUUAUCCAGCAUUGUUAUGAGUUAAAGUCCAUUUGCCCCCAUGUUAUGUGUGAGCAGCCAAGACUUAAACCUCAGGAAAGGUGGGACAGAACCCUUCCCACAGCGUGCCUCCUUGGCCUAGAGAUUGAAGUCUUUGUCCCUCACCCUUCCCCAAGCUGACUCAGCCCCUGGAGCAGAGGGCAGACCUGGCUGGGAGUACAAAGGGCAGCUGGGGCACAAGUGGGCAACUGCAGCUGUGGCCUGCAGGGGGCCAGUGGUACACCUGUGCCUGUUUAGCCUCCCCCUCUGGUGGCUGCAGAAGAGCCAGUUUCCUCACACUGUCCAUCCAGGGUCACAAUUACAUCCAUUCACAGUGACUUCAUCACACCCACCCACCAUCUCACACUGUCACAUACACAAUCAUAUCCACUGAUAGACUGCACACGCAGUGGCACGCUUAAACCGUCACACGUGCUCUUGUCCAUGCAUUCAUUCCCAUUCUAGGCACUGUCCGGGCUCGGCACGGCCCCGGGCAGAACCUUGCAGGAAGUGGAGCUCACAGCCUCCUGGAGUUCAGUGUGGGCAGACAGACAUUGGCCAAUAACUUCAGUACAAGUGGAGCUGAGGCGUCAGGGAGGACCUCCCCGAGGGGCUGAGGCCUGCAGUGGGGAGCCGUUGGAGACUUGCCGAGGAGGGCGAGGGCGCAGGCCCAGGGCUUUGCAGCUCUGCAUCUUGAGAGCCUCGGGGCGG